rnacentral:siRNA from 1 species
UGUGUGCUUACUGGGACACAGAA